GAUGAACGCUAGCUACAGGCUUAACACAUGCAAGUCGAGGGGCAGCAUGGUCUUAGCUUGCUAAGGCCGAUGGCGACCGGCGCACGGGUGAGUAACACGUAUCCAACCUGCCGUCUACUCUUGGACAGCCUUCUGAAAGGAAGAUUAAUACAAGAUGGCAUCAUGAGUCCGCAUGUUCACAUGAUUAAAGGUAUUCCGGUAGACGAUGGGGAUGCGUUCCAUUAGAUAGUAGGCGGGGUAACGGCCCACCUAGUCUUCGAUGGAUAGGGGUUCUGAGAGGAAGGUCCCCCACAUUGGAACUGAGACACGGUCCAAACUCCUACGGGAGGCAGCAGUGAGGAAUAUUGGUCAAGGGGCGCAGGCCUGAACCAGCCAAGUAGCGUGAAGGAUGACUGCCCUAUGGGUUGUAAACUUCUUUUAUAAAGGAAUAAAGUCGGGUAUGUAUACCCGUUUGCAUGUACUUUAUGAAUAAGGAUCGGCUAACUCCGUG
rnacentral:rRNA from 1 species